rnacentral:rRNA from 1 species
CCUACGGGUGGCAGCAGUAGGGAAUCUUCCACAAUGGGCGAAAGCCUGAUGGAGCAACGCCGCGUGGGUGAAGAAGGUCUUCGGAUCGUAAAACUCUGUUGUCAGAGAAGAAAGUGCGUGAGAGUAACUGUUCACGUUUCGACGGUAUCUAACCAGAAAGCCACGGCUAACUACGUGCCAGCAGCCGCGGUAAUACGUAGGUGGCAAGCGUUAUCCGGAUUUAUUGGGCGUAAAGGGAACGCAGGCGGUCUUGUAAGUCUGAUGUGAAAGCCUUCGGCUUAACCGGAGUAGUGCAUGGGAUACUGGGAGACUUGAGUGCAAAAGAGGAGAGUAGAACUCCAUGUGUAGCGGUGAAAUGCGUAGAUAUAUGGAGGAAUACCAGUGGCGAAGGCGGCUCUCUGGUCUGUAACUGACGCUGAGGUGCGAAAGCGUGGGUAGCAAACAGGAUUAGAUACCCGAGUAGUC